AGAGUUUGAUCCUGGCUCAGAAUGAACGUUGGCGGCGUGGAUUAGGCAUGCAAGUCGAGCGAGAACCCGCAAGGGGGACAGCGGCGAACGGGGUAGUAAGGCGUAGGUGACGUGCCCUUAGGACCGGAAUAGCCACGGGAAACUGUGGGUAAUGCCGGAUAAUCUCUGGAUUUCAUUUUUCAGAGCAAUGGGUGUGAUUCCGCCUUUGGAGCGGCCUACGUGGUAUUAGCUAGUUGGUGAGGUAAUGGCUCACCAAGGCGACGAUGCCUAGGGGGUGUGAGAGCAUGGCCCCCACCACUGGGACUGAGAUACUGCCCAGACACCUACGGGUGGCUGCAGUCGAGAAUCUUCGGCAAUGGACGAAAGUCUGACCGAGCGACGCCGCGUGCGGGAUGAAGGCCUUCGGGUUGUAAACCGCUGUCAGAGGGGAUGAAAUUCAUUUGGUACUCCCAGAUGA
rnacentral:rRNA from 1 species